CAACUCUCUACGUGUCUGGGUUUGACUGGGACCUUAAAUCUGGGGGAGAACCCUCAGCCAUCAGGGUCGAAGCAGUAGGUCUGAGAAAACGAAAGCAGGAAAGAUGAAGGAAGAAAGAGGCACAAGAAGAGGCAAGUGCAAAGUCGCUCUGAGGCCCCCACGGGACAGGGAAGCCACCGAAGAAAGGAAACACCCAGGCAAGAGACUCCACUCGAGCUGCCGCAACCAGAUGGAAGUAAUCAGAAC